rnacentral:lncRNA from 1 species
AUUAUUACUUAUAAUUUCAAUCUAUAAAAUAAUUACAAUUUCUUUUAACACUCUCUCUCAAAAACAUUCGGAUACAUAUUAACACACACUCGUUCCUCCAUCAACCAACAAUCAUCUCCAUCGAUUUCCUCCAUUAUUAUCUUCAUUCAAUCAAUUUCUUUUCCUCAUUUUAGUCAGUUGAUACGACAAACAACAUUCUUUUCCUCCCUCAAACACACACUCAUUUUUAUAAUUUUGAAUCAAUAAACAUACCCAUUCAUAUUAACACCCCAUUAAUUCCCAUACCUCCAAAUCUGGAUGUUGCUGACUGAUUUUCGCUGUUUUUGGCAGCGACGGUAAAGUUACUGGUUAUUCUCAUUGGAGCUUCAUCGGAGUUUGUUUGGAACAUUGAAAUUUCGUCAUCAUUGAGCAUUGGUGAUGCUGUGAGCCAGUUGUUGAUGGUGUUUUGAUGGUCGAACUCACUGGAUCUGGAAUCACGGUAGUGGUGAUGUCGGUUGUAGUGGUAGUUUGGGUGGUUAAUGGUCGGAGUUCACCAUUAAAAAUAAUGUAUCUUGCUGAAAAAUAUCUAUCAAAAUUCUUUUUUGUGUUACUGAUACAUAAGUAUUAUUUAUGAGAAUAAG